AUACAGAGGGCGCAAGCGUUGUUCGGAAUCACUGGGCGUAAAGCGCGCGUAGGCGGCCAGGUCAGUCGGAUGUGAAAGCCCGCGGCUCAACCGCGGAAGUGCAUCCGAUACUGCCUGGCUUGAGUACCGGAGGGGGUGGCGGAAUUCCCGGUGUAGAGGUGAAAUUCGUAGAUAUCGGGAGGAACACCUGUGGCGAAGGCGGCCACCUGGACGGAUACUGACGCUGAGGCGCGAAAGCGUGGGGAGCAAACAGGAUUAGAAACCCUAGUAGUCC
rnacentral:rRNA from 1 species